rnacentral:misc_RNA from 1 species
GAUGAAGAACGCAGCGAAACGCGAUAUGUAAUGUGAAUUGCAGAAUUCAGUGAAUCAUCGAAUCUUUGAACGCACAUGGCGCCUUCCAGUAUCCUGGGAGGCAUGCCUGUCCGAGCGUCGUUUCAACCCUCGAGCCCCCGUGGCCCGGCGUUGGGGAUCUGCCCAGGCAGUCCCCGAAAACCAGUGGCGGACCCGUUACAGGCCCUUCCCUUGCGUAGUAGCAUUCGCCUCGCAUCGGGAGCCGGCGGGCUUCCAGCCUCUAAACCCCCAUCAAGUCCGCCCCGGCGGCACCAAGGUUGACCUCGGAUCAGGUAGGAAUACCCGCUGAACUUAAGCAUAUCAAUAAGCGGUGGA